rnacentral:rRNA from 1 species
UACGAAGGGGCUAGCGUUGUUCGGAUUUACUGGGCGAAAGCGCACGUAGGCGGAUAUUUAAGUCAGGGUGAAAUCCCGGGGCUCAACCCCGGAACUGCCUUUGAUACUGGGUAUCUUUUGAGUCCGGAAGAGGUGAGUGGAAUUCCGAGUGUAGAGGUGAAAAUUCGUAGAUAUUCGGAGGAACACCAGUGGCGAAGGGCGGCUCACUGGUCCGGUACUGACGCUGAGGUGCGGAAAAGCGUGGGGAGCAAACAGGG